ACGGGAGCAGCAGUGGGGGAUAUUGCGCAAUGGGGGCAACCCUGACGCAGCAACGCCGCGUGAAGGAAGACGGUUUUCGGAUUGUAAACUUCUUUAAGUGUGGAAGAAGAUGACGGUGCACACAGAAUAAGCCACGGCUAACUACGUGCCAGCAGCCGCGGUAAUACGUAGGUGGCGAGCGUUGUCCGGAUUUACUGGGUGUAAAGGGCGUGUAGGCGGGAUUACAAGUCAGAUGUGAAAUACCGAGGCUUAACUUCGGGGCUGCAUUUGAAACUGUAGUUCUUGAGUGUCGGAGAGGAAAGCGGGAUUCCUAGUGUAGCGGUGAAAUGCGUAGAUAUUAGGAGGAACACCGGUGGCGAAGGCGGCUUUCUGGACGAUAACUGACGCUGAGGCGCGAAAGUGUGGGGAGCAAACAGGAUUAGAUACCCUGGUA
rnacentral:rRNA from 1 species